rnacentral:rRNA from 1 species
GACGAACGCUGGCGGCGUGCUUAACACAUGCAAGUCGAACGGAAAGGCCCUGCUUUUGUGGGGUGCUCGAGUGGCGAAAGGGUGAGUAACACGUGAGUAACCUGCCCUUGACUUUGGGAUAACUUCAGGAAACUGGGGCUAAUACCGGAUAGGAGCUCCUGCUGCAUGGUGGGGGUUGGAAAGUUUCGGCGGUUGGGGAUGGACUCGCGGCUUAUCAGCUUGUUGGUGGGGUAGUGGCUUACCAAGGCUUUGACGGGUAGCCGGCCUGCGAGGGUGACCGGCCACAUUGGGACUGAGAUACGGCCCAGACUCCUACGGGAGGCAGCAGUGGGGAAUAUUGCACAAUGGGCGGAAGCCUGAUGCAGCAACGCCGCGUGCGGGAUGACGGCCUUCGGGUUGUAAACCGCUUUCGCCUGUGACGAAGCGUGAGUGACGGUAAUGGGUAAAGAAGCACCGGCUAACUACGUG